GAUGAACGCUGGCGGCGUGCUUAACACAUGCAAGUCGAACGGAAAGGCCCAAGCUUGCUUGGGUACUCGAGUGGCGAACGGGUGAGUAACACGUGGGUGAUCUGCCCUGCACUUCGGGAUAAGCCUGGGAAACUGGGUCUAAUACCGGAUAGGACGAUGGUUUGGAUGCCAUUGUGGAAAGUUUUUUCGGUGUGGGAUGAGCUCGCGGCCUAUCAGCUUGUUGGUGGGGUAAUGGCCUACCAAGGCGUCGACGGGUAGCCGGCCUGAGAGGGUGUACGGCCACAUUGGGACUGAGAGACGGCACAGACUCCUACGGGAGGCAGCAGGGGGGAAUAUUGCACAAUGGGCGCAAGCCUGAUGCAGCGACGCCGCGUGGGGGAUGACGGCCUUCGGGUUGUAAACUCCUUUCGCUAGGGACGAAGCGUUUUUGUGACGGUACCUGGAGAAGAAGCACCGGCUAACUACGUG
rnacentral:rRNA from 1 species